CUUGGGGGAGGGGGUUUAAUGUGUGGGAAGGGAGGAUGGGCUUCUUCCGGGCCCAGAAGUAGGAAGUAGGCUGACAGGCUGUGUAGUUCCUCUCAGUGGCUGAUUCCUUUAGAGCCUCUGCUCCUUCUGUACUCUGCGGUGCUACUCUCUGACUGGAGAAGGUGAGAACAGACCCAUCCCUGCCCCAAGCCCCCCUCCACUCAUCUUCUACUUCCUAGCCUGUUACAUAAUCUGCACUCCGUCCACACGUGGAAAUAAUCACGGCUCAGCAGAAUGGGCUCGGGGGCAUGAUGAAUGGUCUGUAGGAUCGUCAGCUGACGGCCAGCUGCUCCUGAAGUGACCUGAGGGACUGCCAUAGCUCAGGUUCCCAGCCCUUCCCGGGAAAGUUGUCAGCAGUAACCAGAGCUGGCUCAGUGACUGAGAGCAGUAGGAACAUCGUUUCUUGGCAACCGUGGACAGCACACAAGAUCCAGCUAAUCACCGGUACCAGCAGAUAUCCCAGGACUCCUGAGUUGGCUGUUUCCUUCUUCGUGGCAUCUUCUCACUGGGGUUUGACCUGAGCAUUCUGGGAAGCGUGGUUCAGCUUUUUGAACCUCGCUAUCUCUCUUUUCUUUCUCCCUUCCUGCUUCCAAGUGGUUGUAUUUUUGGUUAUUGUUUAAACAAACAAACAGAACCCAAACGAACAAAUCC
rnacentral:lncRNA from 1 species